UACGUAGGGGGCUAGCGUUGUCCGGAAUCAUUGGGCGUAAAGCGCGUGUAGGCGGCCCGGUAAGUCCGCUGUGAAAGUCGGGGGCUCAACCCUCGGAUGCCGGUGGAUACUGUCGGGCUGGAGUGCGGAAGAGGCGAGUGGAAUUCCUGGUGUAGCGGUGAAAUGCGCAGAUAUCAGGAGGAACACCUAUUGCGAAGGCAGCUCGCUGGGACGUUACUGACGCUGAGACGCGAAAGCGUGGGGAGCAAACAGG
rnacentral:rRNA from 1 species